rnacentral:pre_miRNA from 1 species
AUACUACUCGCUCCGUUCGAAAUUACUCGUCCAAGAAAUGAAUGUAUCUAGAUGUAUUUUAGUUGUAGAUACAUCCAUUUUUGUGACAAGUAAUUCCGAAUGGAGGGAGUAUUAC